rnacentral:rRNA from 1 species
AUGACUAGGGAUAACCUUAGGAAGAGACACAUCAUCAAACCCCUUGAUUGUGUUUACUGAUUGGAACAAGAGUCUUGUUCUCACCUAUUUUUUGAAUGUAUAGUUGCUAAACAUCUCUGGGCCCACAUUGAGGAAUAUUUCUCUAGUCAGAUUGGCUCAUCCUUCGAAUCUGUUGCCAGAUUCUGGAUUGCUACCAAAAAGUGCUUAGUUUUAAAUACUGUUAGCUCAGCUGUCCGUUGGUGCCUCUGGAAAUAUAGAAAUGCUAUGAUUUUUAGUAACACCUCCUGGAUUUCCAUUCCGCGGGUCUUGAGGUUGAUCAGGAACAUGGUGAGGAACUGGGUGAUUCUCUCCUCUGGGUCGGACAAGGACAAGUUGAUGAGCUUCAUGGAAACCCUAACAAGAUCCCUCCAGAAACCAUUGGCGAUCACUUGUGGAUGA